GUGGGGAAUAUUGGACAAUGGGCGAAAGCCUGAUCCAGCCAUGCCGCGUGUGUGAAGAAGGUCUUCGGAUUGUAAAGCACUUUAAGUUGGGAGGAAGGGCAGUAAGUUAAUACCUUGCUGUUUUGACGUUACCGACAGAAUAAGCACCGGCUAACUUCGUGCCAGCAGCCGCGGUAAUACGAAGGGUGCAAGCGUUAAUCGGAAUUACUGGGCGUAAAGCGCGCGUAGGUGGUUUUGUAAGUUGGAGGUGAAAUCCCCGGGCUCAACCUGGGAACUGCAUCCAAAACUGCAUGACUAGAGUACGGUAGAGGGUAGUGGAAUUUCCUGUGUAGCGGUGAAAUGCGUAGAUAUAGGAAGGAACACCAGUGGCGAAGGCGACUACCUGGACUGAUACUGACACUGAGGUGCGAAAGCGUGGGGAGCAAACAGGAUUAGAAACCCGGGUAGUCC
rnacentral:rRNA from 1 species